GGGCUCGUAGCUCAGUGGUAGAGUACUGCCUUCGCGAGGCAGAUGCCGCGGGUUCGAAUCCCGCCGAGUCCA
rfam:Candidatus Syntrophoarchaeum butanivorans isolate BOX1 BOX1_11reassembly_contig04, whole genome shotgun sequence.